rnacentral:rRNA from 1 species
CCUACGGGAGGCAGCAGUAGGGAAUCUUCCGCAAUGGACGAAAGUCUGACGGAGCAACGCCGCGUGAGUGAUGAAGGCUUUCGGGUCGUAAAACUCUGUUGUUAGGGAAGAACAAGUGCUAGUUGAAUAAGCUGGCACCUUGACGGUACCUAACCAGAAAGCCACGGCUAACUACGUGCCAGCAGCCGCGGUAAUACGUAGGUGGCAAGCGUUAUCCGGAAUUAUUGGGCGUAAAGCGCGCGCAGGUGGUUUCUUAAGUCUGAUGUGAAAGCCCACGGCUCAACCGUGGAGGGUCAUUGGAAACUGGGAGACUUGAGUGCAGAAGAGGAAAGUGGAAUUCCAUGUGUAGCGGUGAAAUGCGUAGAGAUAUGGAGGAACACCAGUGGCGAAGGCGACUUUCUGGUCUGUAACUGACACUGAGGCGCGAAAGCGUGGGGAGCAAACAGGAUUAGAUACCCUGGUAGUCCACGCCGUAAACGAUGAGUGCUAAGUGUUAGAGGGUUUCCGCCCUUUAGUGCUGAAGUUAACGCAUUAAGCACUCCGCCUGGGGAGUACGGCCGCAAGGCUGAAACUCAAAGGAAUUGACGGGG